rnacentral:rRNA from 1 species
GAUGAACGCUGGCGGCGUGCCUAAUACAUGCAAGUCGAGCGAACAGACGAGGAGCUUGCUCCUCUGACGUUAGCGGCGGACGGGUGAGUAACACGUGGAUAACCUACCUAUAAGACUGGGAUAACUUCGGGAAACCGGAGCUAAUACCGGAUAAUAUAUUGAACCGCAUGGUUCAAUAGUGAAAGACGGUUUUGCUGUCACUUAUAGAUGGAUCCGCGCCGCAUUAGCUAGUUGGUAAGGUAACGGCUUACCAAGGCAACGAUGCGUAGCCGACCUGAGAGGGUGAUCGGCCACACUGGACCUGAGCCCCGGUCCAGACUCCUACGGGAGGCAGCAGUAGGGAAUCUUCCGCAAUGGGCGAAAGCCUGACGGAGCAACGCCGCGUGAGUGAUGAAGGUCUUCGGUUCGUAAACCUCUGUUAUUAGGGAAGAACAAAUGUGUAAGUAACUAUGCACGUCUUGACGGUACCUAAUCAGAAAGCCACGGCUACCUACGU